ACACCAUUCAAUUUUUUAUUCACCAGAGACGAUCACUCCCCUCGUGGAACCCUCCCCACCUCCCCCCUCAUUCGUGAACGAGCCCUUUGAAGCAAAACCCUUGCCACCGUCGUCCCCAGGUUCUCGGUUUUCGGCGUCUCCGCUUCUUCCUCUUCCCCAGGUCCAGAACCCAGGUAGCUCGGCACGUCGUCCACUGGCUUCUCUCUUCGUGGCUUGGAGGUGGAGCAACUUGCCAUUUGCCUUCGUCUCAUCUGUCGCGUUGUCUCGUCUCUCGCCGGUUGCCGUCCGUGUCUCUGUCGAAGUGACUAGAGCAUUCGAGCGCCGUUUCAUCAGCCAAGAUCCCUCCGUUCUAAGGGCUUUGCACACCUACUGUUUUUUUGUUAAGAGGUUCAAAACCCCCCCUGCUUUUUCCAUCAAAAACGGCAGAAGCUCCACGCUUUCCUCUCUUUCAAGGGGCCACCAAUGUCCUUCCUUCUGGUGCUGCAGAAGCCUCGUCCUCACAAUGCUUUCGGGAGGCUCCAGUGCUUUACGAUCAGCAGCCAACUUCUUCUCGAGAUCUCUGGAAAUGCAGUGGUUUUCUUAGUUGCAGGCUCCAUAAAUUCGUUGUCAAGUGGGGUAAUUAGUUGAGGAAAGAUUGAGACUGGUAAAAAUUAAUAUCUUGCAGGUGAUACUUAAGUGGCCGGGUUUGUCUGUGCGCGCCGGGACGACGGCUUCGAGGAGGGUGGGGUCCAAGGUCCAUGAGAGGGGAGAGUAUUUCGGCAAUUCUCCAAAGCCAGUGUAGCGUAAGUAGUGAGCACCAAAUCCUUAGCCAUCAACUCCUCAGUCCUUGCGCUUUUAUUAUCAUAGUACCUCAAAUAAGACAAUGAAUCUGGAAAAAUGUGAUCCUCCAAUUGUGAAAUUCAAGUCGACACCACGGACACACAGUCAGAGUUGGACCAUUACCUUUAUCAAGCGCCACAAGAGAGAGCAAAGUAAGAGUCUUUCCGAGCUCCGUUCCAAUCCCUCCCUUCCAAGGUCUUGUGACGAGCAAAGUAGGUCUGCAAAGCCAGAACCUUGGAAGGGAGGGAUCUUGGCUGCUGAAAUGGGGCUCGGAAAGACUCUUACUUUGCUCUCUCUCUUGUGGCGCUUGAUAAAAGUAAUGGUCCAAUUCUGAUUGUGUGUCUAGUGUCGGUGGUGUCGACUUGGAUUUCACAAUUAGAAGAUCACAUUUUUCCAAAUUCACUGUCUUAUUUGAGUUAAUAUGGUAACAAAAGGGCAGAGGAGUUGAUAGCUAAGAAUUUGGCGCUCACUACUUACGCUACACUGACUUUGGAGAACAAAGGGCCGAGUCGCCAGUAAAAGAGAAUUGUUUGGAAUAGGAUUAUUUUGGAUCAGGUUGAGGGCAUAAAACUUUCAGGAGCCGGGCGAAGGCAAAUGGUGAUGAACCGCAAUUCCAAGAGGAGGUGAGCUGUCACCGUCACACCCAUCAAGGAUGGCUACGUGGACGCAUUUGCAUUCAUGAGUUUCCUGGAUUUUGAACCAUUCUCCAAUAGAGAAAGUUGGAACCGGUUCAUUCAGCGUCCCAUAAAUCAAGGCCUCGACAGCGGCCACGAGCGCCUCGAGGUAUUGAUGAAGGCAAUUUUGUUAAGAAAAACAAAAGACAAUGAAUUGUUAGGGAUGCUACCAAAAACUAUUGAGACUCUAUAUGUUGAACUUAAUGAAGAAGAAUGGAAAGUGUAUAAUUAGAUAAAAGGUGAAGUGAUGCUUUUAAUGAGGAAGGAUACCAAAAGAGUUAAGUUUCCUGCUGUACUAAGUACCAUUUUGCAUCUUUGCCAAGUCUGUGCUGAUGUAGCAUCGUGUCCCAGUGAUCUUGGAAACACAUUCUGUUUAACUCUUGAAGGUUCUAUCUGCUAGAAGCACUGGCCUUCUACCACUAUUUUUAGACAAUGUUCCAUCCACCUACUGCAUAUAUUUCUUUAAGGUAUUUUUUCUAUCAUGUUGCCACUCUAUUUUUAUUAUUAAAUUUGUAUUUAACAUUGUGCCUGGUAUGAAAUCUCAGUUUUAAUUUUAUUUUUUCACAUGUGAUUUUAUUUUUAUAUAGCUUGUUAUUAUUUUUAUAGUUAGUUAUAGCAGGUUCUUGACCCCAAUAAAGGAAGAGGGAGUUCUAAUAGGAGUAAAAAAAAAAAAACAGCAACAAAAUAUAUAUUGACACACAUCUUAUAUUUGUUUUUUUAUUUUCACGUACCAUAUCAUACACAAUAAAACAGCAAACACUAACUACACACUAAUUUCUUUGGCAUUGCCAUCAAGAUUAUUGUGAAUUAUAAUUUAUGGGUGAGGUGAAGUAGAAGAACCAGUUUCUAGUGAUAUUACGUGAGAAGAAUCGAAUGUGAAAGCCCUAGCAAAAUGGAAAUAAUAAGAGAACAAAUAAAAAAUCAAUUGCCUAAUCGAUUGUAAUCUUAGUGAUUAGAUUAUGUAAAAUCAAAAUUUAAUAUUAAAAAAUAUUUAUUAUCAUCGUUAUUUUAAUAUCAACUUUUUUGUGUAAAAAAAUUGUAUUUUUUGAUUUAUUUAUCCAAACUUUACAACUUUAAAAUAAGUACUUUUAUAACUAAAAAUCUAAACACAAAAUAACUUAUUUAUAAGCUGCUAUUAAUAAAAGUCCUUGUCCUUUUAGCUCUUCUUCCAAAAAAAAACUUAUUUAAGUUAUUUAUCUAAACUGGACUUAGUAGAUUCCUAUAUUCAAUUUAUCAAUGUUUUUCAUGUUUUCUCUUUCUAUUCCAUAAUUCCAUGUGACUGCUUCAAGGUCGUCGCAUACUUUAUUACAGUAAAUUUACAUCCUUCUCAUGAAAUGGUCAGGAUUUUCACAAAAUUUUAACGCAUGAUGCUGAACUUUUGAUCCUUAAUUUAAAGAGACACCAAACUUACCACUUUAGACUGAGUCAUAAUUCCCGAAAAUUACUGGCACUUCUCUGGAUUAGUGCAGCAUUAGAAUCAGAACGUUCAACAUAAUUUAGUGUCUGAUGUACAAUUAAUUUCUUUUUAUCAAAUUCCAGAGUGCUCAGUGUUUUGAAUCUUGGAAUAUGGAUGAAUUCGUUUUAUUUUCCCUUAAAACAUUUUAAAGAAUAUACAUAGUUCUGUUCGGCUCCUGGUUUCACAAUAUGAAUGAUGUCUUGGUAUGUUGAUUCAGAUAGAAAUAUCUAUUUUCUGUGAUAACUGUGAAGAAGAGGUAAACAUGACGUUUAGUAUAUUCUACUAACCAUACUGUUUUUGAUAAGAUGUUUCCAAUAACCCACGGUUGUUGCGAAGGUUAGUUGAAACGCUGCAAGAAUGUGAAGCUUAUGAGUGCCCAAUUUGUUCUUCUCCUUCAGCAAACAUCGUUAUCACCCGCUGUAGUCACAUCUUCUGCCGAGUCUGUAUUCUGAGAAUUAUACAAUCCAGCGGAUCCCCUCGUCCUCUUUGCCGUAGAGCUCUAUCCGAAUCUGACUUGUUCUCAGCCCCAAUCGAGCCUUCUAGAGCUGAUAGUACCUCUUCAUCCUCAUCAUCGGAUGAAGAGUUAUCUUCCAAAACAUCUGCGUUGAUAAAAUUUCUCAAAGAAUCAAGAGAACAGAAGCCAACAGCAAAAUCGGUUGUGUUUUAACAAUAUCGCAAGGUGUUAGUUUUAUUGGAAGUGCCUUUGAAGGAGGCUUGUUUCAAGACUUUGCGCAUUGAUGGCUUGAAGACGGCUGAACAGAGGGCUGGUGUUAUUGAUCAAUUUCAAGACACUAAAGAAAAUGGACCACUGUUCUGCUUGCAGGCGCCUUAGGGUUUCAGGUGCAGGUGUAAAUCUCACGGCCGCCACCAUGGUGUAUUUCAUGGAGCCAUGGUGGAAUGUGGCUGUCAAGGAACAGGCAAUGGAUCGCGUCCAUUGCAUUAGACAGAAAGAGGCCGUGAGGAUUGUUAGAUUGGUUGUUCGGGACAGCAUUGAGGAAAAAAUGCUGAUGUUGCAGGAGGAAAAGAGGGGAAGUCAUUUUGUAGCCUGAAGUAUAAAGAUCUAAAUUUCCUUAUGUCCAUAGACAGAAAGAGGCUGUGAAGAUUGUUAGAUUGGUUGUUCGGGACAGCAUUGAGGAAAAGAUGCUGAUAUUGCAUGAGGAGAAGAGGGGAAGUCAUUCUAUGGACAUAAGGAAAUUUAGAUCUUUAUACUUCAGGCUACAAAAUUACUUUCCCUCUUCUCUUGCAACAUCAGCAUCUUCUCUUCAAUGCUGUCCCGAACAACCAAUCUAACAAUCCUCACAGCCUCUUUCUGUCUAAUGCAAUGGACGCGAUGCUUGUUCCUCGACAGCCGCAUUCCAUCAUAGCUCCAUGAAAUACACCGUGGUGGCGACCGUGAGUUUUACACCUGCACCUGAAACCCUAAGGCCCUGCAAGCAGAACGGUCGGUCCAUUUUUUUUAGUUAUCAAAUUUCUAUUACUAAAGAGUUGGAAAAUUUCUAUUACUAAAGAGUUGGAUUAAUCUCAGCUGGUGAUGCUGGUGGUUUACUAAAUAGUAAAUAGGAUGAUGGAAUUGAACUCUGAUAUAAUUUGAAGUCUGUCCUUUUGUGUUAAAUCUAUGGGCAUAAUUUGCCGAAAAAAAAAAAUAGUUGCUUCGCCAAA